rnacentral:rRNA from 1 species
AGCAGCCGCGGUAAUUCCAGCUCCAAUAGCGUAUAUUAAAGUUGUUGCAGUUAAAAAGCUCGUAGUUGAAUUUCGGGAUCAAAUUGUCGGUCGUGCCUCGGUACGUACUGGCGUUAUUGGUUCCUCCCUUCUGAAGAACCGCGAUGUCAUUAAUUUGGUGUCGCGGGGAAUCAGGACUGUUACUUUGAAAAAUUAGAGUGUUUAAAGCAGGCUCGCGCUUGAAUACAUUAGCAUGGAAUAAUGAAAUAGGACGUUUGAUUCUAUUUUGUUGGUUUCUAGGAUCGACGUAAUGAUUAAUAGGGAUAGUUGGGGGCAUUAGUAUUCAAUUGUCAGAGGUGAAAUUCUUGGAUUUUAUUGAAGACUAACUACUGCGAAAGCAUCUGCCAAGGAUGUUUUCAUUAAUCAAGAACGAAAGUUAGGGGAUCGAAGACGAUCAGAUACCGUCGUAGU